rnacentral:rRNA from 1 species
UACAGAGGUGGCAAGCGUUGUUCGGAAUUACUGGGCGUAAAGAGCUCGUAGGCGGUUUGUCGCGUCUGCCGUGAAAGUCCGGGGCUCAACUCCGGAUCUGCGGUGGGUACGGGCAGACUAGAGUGAUGUAGGGGAGACUGGAAUUCCUGGUGUAGCGGUGAAAUGCGCAGAUAUCAGGAGGAACACCGAUGGCGAAGGCAGGUCUCUGGGCAUUAACUGACGCUGAGGAGCGAAAGCGUGGGGAGCGAACAGG